rnacentral:rRNA from 1 species
UACGUAGGGUGCGAGCGUUGUCCGGAUUUAUUGGGCGUAAAGAGCUCGUAGGCGGUUUGGUAAGUCGGAUGUGAAAUCUCCAGGCUCAACCUGGAGGGGUCAUUCGAUACUGCCAUGAAUAGAGUUCGGUAGGGGAGUGUGGAAUUCCUGGUGGAGCGGUGAAAUGCGCAGAGAUCAGGAGGAACACCCGUAGCGAAGGCGGCACUCUGGGCCGAUACUGACGCUGAGGAGCGAAAGCGUGGGGAGCGAACAGG